ensembl:snoRNA
AAUCUCCUAAAUCUGCGCGGUUACACUUGGUUGAAGUAGUGUAAUUGUCGUAAAUGGAGAGAAAGAAACUUGAGUUUUGUAUGUAUAGCAGAGGGACCCUGUUAUGGUCUCCCUGUUUCAUCUUAAAUUCUACAUUU